GACGUAGGGCGCGAGCGUUGUCCGGAUUUAUUGGGCGUAAAGAGCUCGUAGGCGGCUUGUCGCGUCGAAUGUGAAAACUCGGGGCUCAACUCCGAGCUUGCAUUCGAUACGGGCAGGCUAGAGUUCGGUAGGGGAGACUGGAAUUCCUGGUGUAGCGGUGAAAUGCGCAGAUAUCAGGAGGAACACCGGUGGCGAAGGCGGUUCUCUGGGCAUGUUCUGACGCUGAGGAGCGAAAGUGUGGGGAGCGAACAGG
rnacentral:rRNA from 1 species